rnacentral:snoRNA from 1 species
ACGACCUUACUUGAACAGGAUAUGUUCUAUAGGCUCGUACCACUGUAUACUUGAGUUCUAAGGAGACAGAAAACCAAGUCUAAAUCCAAACAAAAAUGAUAGUUUAGAAU